UUAAUUGACAUGAGUCUUGGACAUGAACUCUUUACUUAUUCCAAGUGCAAAUUGAAAACACUAAAUACCACGUGCAGUUUUGUUCAAAGUAUGUGUAAGAUUUUUGUUCAUUUCUAAAUAAGUGACAUAAGACUUUCUAUAUACUGUUAAUCUUUUUUAUUUUUAUUUUUAU